GGGGAGGCGUCUGGCAGCAGUGUACAGCAUAAUCUGGAAGCACGGAAGGAACCAGCUGGAGGCUUCUGCCGAAACCAGGCAGACACAAGGUUCACAGUGCUAGGAUGUUAAGGGGAAAAGUAGAAGUGGAAAGUGAGAGGUAGGAGAUAUUUUGAAGAAGGAACAGAGAUAAUCGAGUGAUUGUAUAUUUGGGGAGGAGAGAAAUGACCCAAAGUGACCGCGAUUUUGAGCUUGGGAGGCAGGGAGAAGAGGGUUCCCCCAGGUGGAGAGGGUGUGUCAUCUGGAGGGGCGGAGCUCCUUUCAGAGCCAUGUUUGUAAGGACAGUGGGAUCCCAACUGGGAACUGUCCAGGGGGCUGGAAAUCAGGACAGAGGAACAGCACAGAGGAACUAACCCAAAGGAUGAAAGCGAUACUACAGAUCUGAAGGGGAGCUAACAGAAAGGGAGAAAGAGAAACAGGGCCGGGGAACACCCACCUUGGGGAGGAGAAGCCGGUGGCCAGGCUGUGAAGGGAAUAUGCAGCGACCUGGCUGCAAACUUCCUGACUUCAGAGGCCAGGCUGGAGCCCAAGAAGGCUUUGCGGACCCGUGGCUGUGCUCCUCGUGUGAGCCAAGUGUAGUCCCUGGCGGUGACGCCCGCAGCUCGGCUCUGCCCGCGUUCCGGCGGCGGGGGGUGCGGACCAGCUGAGCAGGACCAGCGCGGCUCCAAGGCCAGAUUGCCGUCUCUGGUCAGACCCCAGCAGCAGCGCCCCAUGUCGCCAGGGCUCGCGAACCACCUCGGCUGGGGUGUGCUGGCCUGCUCUGCUCCUGUGCUUCGGGUCUUUAUUCCGCUUUGAAUGGGUUUCUUGAAAAACAAACUCUUUGACGUAAAAAAAAAAACACCAAACAGUUUAUGGUCUUUAGAAUGUUGAUUUGAAAUAAAGCGAAUAUUGGUGACAUGCUCUGCAGAUAGUUACAUAAAGCUGUGAAAGAGCCACAAAUAAUUUACUCUAACUGCAGCACUAAUUAUUGUCCUGUACAAAGCAGCCGCCGUUAGGAGUCGUUUCUUUGAGUGGUAUCAAUUCCCCAGGAGAUAAGCAUUAUAAAAAUGAUGAAAAGAAUUUCAUAUGAUUUUUGUCAUUAAGAUAAAAUCUCAAUAAACCAGCAUCUAAUCUUA